rnacentral:rRNA from 1 species
UACGUAGGGUGCGAGCGUUGUCCGGAAUUAUUGGGCGUAAAGAGCUCGUAGGCGGUCUGUCGCGUCUGCUGUGAAAACUCAGGGCUUAACCCUGAGCUUGCAGUGGGUACGGGCAGACUAGAGUGCGGUAGGGGAGACUGGAAUUCCUGGUGUAGCGGUGAAAUGCGCAGAUAUCAGGAGGAAUACCGGUGGCGAAGGCGGGUCUCUGGGCCGUAACUGACGCUGAGGAGCGAAAGCAUGGGGAGCGAACAGG